rnacentral:lncRNA from 1 species
UGUCUCUCUCUGCUUCUUCAUAAUUUCAGUCCAUUUUUUCAUGCCACGGGACCACCUCAGCCCUCAAUCCUCCUGGCCUUUCAAUUGAAGGGUCCAGCAUCCUCUGACUAAUUCGCUGUUUCUCUCCAGUUCCAGAAAGAGAGAACCUUGUUGACUCGGCCCACCCUAGGGGUUGGUUCCGUCUUCGGUCUGCUGUGGUCCAGUCAGUUGUGGGUAGGAUGCAGGGCGGGGCAUGCACACACAUGUGCCUGCUGAAGCCCACAUCUAGAAUGACCACCUCAUCCUGGUUUGCCUGAAACUUUUCUGGUUUUAGCACUGUAGGUCUCACAGACCCCAAACCCUCACAGUCCCGGGCAAACCCAAAUGGCUGCUGACCGAAUGCCUCCUCCUCAGCGACACCUGUGUGUUUGUAGAGCUGAGUGGGUCAUUUGUAAGAGGGGCAUUGGGGCACAUCCAGCACAACGCUUUGACUCUCAGAGUAAAUCAGAUUGGUAAUUGCAUUCAAGACUGCAGUUCCAAAAGCAUGAUCCAUGCUUGCUGGGCACUGUGUGCCCAGCGCCAUGAUGUAAGACAGCUGUUAGGCAUGGACCUUGGGAAUACACAACAGUGAACACCAAAAGAAAGGCUGUGUACAAAAGAUCUAAACCCAGUGGCUGGAAUCUGGUGGCCCACAGGACAAGCUCAGUUGUCAGCAAGGUGGGGUCAUAGGAUUUGUGUUUGAAUGCUUCUCAGGGUGUCCCGGCUCCACCUCUUUAUCUUCCACGUGCGCUCUCCACACAAGAUCCGGGAAGGUACCUCGAGUUUGUAAUCCCUGACCUAGAGAGUAUUGUGAGUACCACUGCUUCUUCUGGUGGUGAGAGAAAGAAAGGUUAAGUUCAGGAGUUGAGAAAUAUUGCCAGCUGCAAAAUGAUCACUGGUGCAUUGGAAAAAUUGGGUAUAACUGAAGUGCGUAACAUGAGUGAUUAGUUAAUAACACUUAUUGAACAUCACUGGUACUUAAAACAAGGGGGAAUUCCUAGGAAAGGUUAGAACUGGCAUGGAGGAAACCAUUAGAAAAUUUACAAAUCUGUGAAGAUUUGUGUGUCCCCAGAAGCAAACCCCAGGAUAGGAUGUGAGUGGAACCGUUCAACGGGAGGUGAUCCCAGGCCCCCUGUAGGGAGUCGGAACCUGACCAGGGAAGAAAGCCAGUAACAGGUACGCCAGCCUGCUGCCCCUGGGAAGUCUGGGAGAGAGUAGACGGAGGCUUGGAGCUCUCCUUCGGAGGAGGGAGUGCAGGGUGGGUAUUUCUUCACCAACCCCUGUCAGCCAUGGGGUGAGAGCUGCUCCCUGGGGACAUAAAAUCCCUGACACCUCCAGCCUACCCCAAAGGAAGCCCUGAAGUAAAUAACGCAGCUGCUGGCAGUUGACAUUCAGGCUGAGUUCUCUGGCCUGGUGCCUGCUGAGGGUGUGGGUCCAGCAUGUUCUCGCACACACACAUGCUCUGUGUCACUGCACUACUCAGAUCUUACAGAGACAUCAAAUGUCUGUCCCAAAAGGCAGGCAGUUUGGGAUAUUAGACUUUGUCAGUCAGAGUUCCUGGUUGUGGAGCAUCAGAGUUGCCUCCAGCUGAGGGAAGCAGAAAAGGAAUUUAUUACUGAGUAUUAGGUGGCUCACAGACUGGGAGAGUUAGGGGUCGGCCCCACCACAGGAUGCUCCAAUGAAGAUGCCACUGUCCCUCUGCCGGGCCAGACUCCGCAUCUCACAGAGCCAUCACUGGGCACUAUCCCAGCAGUCUCCCGGGUGGAAAUGUAUGAAGACCACGCAAAGGAGAACAAGCAGGGGCUAUCUAUUCAAAGCGCUGCAGCAAGGGCGUCAGCCACCAUCACUCGCAUUUGGCAGUCAGGGGAAUGGGGAGGCUGUAAGGUGAUGAACAGGGAAGCUGCAGGUGUUCCCGCUGGAGCUGCGGGGCAUCCCAUGUGACUGGUUAGAGGAGCAUGUGUGGCUUUCUCAGGUUGGUCCUGAGUUGGAAGCAGAGGCAGAAAUUGGGGAAGCUGGUACUUAUUGACCAAGUCCUGACCAUUUGGGGCCGAGUUGCUGCAGUUUGUGGUUUGGCUUCCUGGGGGCUGGUGGUGCAGAGGUUGUGGGUCAGAGUUCUAUGUCCAUUUGUAUCUUGAGUCUCGCACGCCGAAAGCUAACGCCUCUGCUGUCGCCCCCUCCAGUCGGAGUCCAGCGGCGCCUGCUUCCUGGCAUUGCUGUCUUCUGAAGGGACUCCUGCUCCUGCUGGAGAGACCAGAUCAAAGGCCUGGCCUCAGCGGGGUGCUUGGCUCUUCCCUGGGGUGGGUCCUCCAAGAGAAUGAGGGGUUGAGAGAUGCUGGGCAGCCACACAACAUGACCAGCGUUCACCGCGUAAGCACAGCCAGUGAGCAGAGAGGCUCACGACAUCGGAGAGUAGACCAGGAGGGUUUCCUGAAUCAAUGGAUAAAAAGAGAAAUGAUUCCAGGGUACAUUUUCCUGCAGGGGGUGGAACUUACGCCUAUUCUUGCAGAGAAAGUACAGAAAGUUUAAAGAAGAGCUGGAAAACCCUCUUCAUCUCUCCACCAAACACAGCCCUUGUUACCAUUUCAACACAGUGGGCUUCUUUGGUCUUUUUCACGUUGUUGAAAUAACGCCGUACACACAACUUCAUAUUCUGCUUUGUGGUUUAACUCUGCGUCAUAAGCAUUUCACCACUUUUCUAAAACUCUUUGUAAACAGCAUUUUAUGACGUCAUGCUACUCCAUUGUGUGGCUGUGUAGACGUAAUUUAGGCAGCUGUUCCCAGAAUGUCAGCUAUUCAGAUUGUCUCUCAUUUUGUUGCUAUUAUGAGUAUAAAUCCCAUCUUCAUUUCUAAGUGGGAGAGAGAUUCAGGAGGGAAUUACUAAGCAGUGGGCAUGAAUGUUUUGCUUUUCUUGACCCGUGGUGCACAGGACUAUGUGAACAGACAGGGGGUGAAGCCCCUGUGGUCGUCUUUCCCCCACCCGUCUCUCUUUCUGUAGGCACGGCUUUCACCAGGAGAGCGGGACAGGGGCACAGAGGACAAGCUGAAGAAAUACACACUCAGGACGGAGAGGCUUUCUGAAGAGCUGUCCUAGAUGCCUCCUGGCUUGGAUUAUACUAUGAAACGGUUUAUUGUCUGCUGAGGCGCCCUGCAAGUGUACAGGAGAGACUUUUUGCUAGCUGUGGUUUGGAAAGAGAGCAGAGCAACUCAUCCUGAUUCUGAAUAAAGGAUGGUAACAUUUUAUGGUAAAUAUAAUGGCAGGCAACCAUGAUGCUCUGUUUUUUAAUUGCAGUGAAAAAUCGAUGGGCUAGUCUCUUUUACAAAUGCAUAUCCCAGUAUCGACAUGGAGGCGGGGCUUCAGAAACGUCAGUGGCCCAUCAGAGUCACCCAAAGGGCUCGUGAAAACAGAUUCCUGGGCCCCACCCCAAGGAUUCGGAUUUGCAUUUCUAGUGAGUUGCUGGUGCAGUUGGUCCUGGGGACCACACUUUGGGGCUUUGUUAAAUGUGAUAUAAAGAACUAUAAAGAGAGGAAUCUUAGGUGCCUUCAAACAAUGUAACUUGAGAAAAGGGGCUCUUGAGGCUCACUACCCGCUCGACCCUGAGCGACGGUUACUGUGCGUCGUUGGACUCAGUGUUUGUCUUCUUGUGGCUUUUUUCACUUAGCAUAAUGUCCUCAAGAUUCACCCAUGCUGCAGCAUGUCUCAGGAUUUCUUUCCUUUUCAAGGCUGAAUAAUAUUCCACAUGCCACAUUUUGUUUAUCUGUGCAUCCGUCAAUGGACACGUGGGUUGCUUCUACCUCUUGGCUGUUGUGGAUAGUGUUGCUAUGAACAUGGGUGUGCACACAGAGAGAGCUCUUUCUAAGGGUCUACAAGGAGAGCCUGCAGCACCUGCCUGGCCAUUGUGCACACCCGUGCCUGCAGCCAGGUGGCAGAUACCUCUGACAUCUGCUUUGCGCUCCAUGGGUCCCCUUCUGCCUUCCUGUGGCUCUGCUGGACAGUCCCAAGGGAGCUCAGCCUCACCAACAUCACCACCCAGUCACCCACCUUCUGCCCCAGGCCCUUCUCAUAGGCCACAGGGGCUGGCUUGGCUUGGAAGUGCAGGACAGUUAACACCCAAAACAACUCUCAGCCAAUGGGCUCUAGUUGGUGGACAAUGCCAGGUCUUGCAUCCUUCCAGUGGGCAAAUCUGGAAGGCAUUCAGCUUCCCAGAGAUACCAGGAGAGCUGAGGGAUCUGGAUAACGCGCCCUUAGAUUUGUGGGUCGUCCUACCCUGUCUCACUCUCCCUGCCCCUUCUCACCUGCUUCCUGGGAUGGCCUCCAGGUAAACACCUGCUCCCAAGUCCUUGCCUCUGGGUGAUCCUGAUACCUCUGAAGUCUCAGAAUGUCUGCUUUAUACUGAUGACUGGUUUGAAUAAAAAUGGCUUUCCCUUACCUUGACCUCAGCUUCUGCAUGGGGGGAGGCGGAGGUCCCCCGCCCUCUGUCCCUGAUGCUUGCUCUCUACCCCUCCUCACUGGUCGCCCCUGGGAAAGAAAAGACCAUAAGCCCCUAUUUCAUAUGGACGAUCCCCACAAAUGUGAGCUUCUUCUUCAAGAAUGGGAGACAGCCUCUAAACAGUACAGCACUUGCUACCUAGACAUAAGACUGACAACAAAGCCUCAAUGAACUUAUGUUUUUCCUUCCAGUCAUUAUUCAGUAAGGAUUUGCCUGCCGCUGGUGAGCUUGUAAGCCAGGCCUGGCGGUCUAGCGGUCAAGAUUCAGCUCUCUCACCGCCGCGGACCGGUUCAUUUCUCUGUCAAGGAACCACACCAGUCGUCUGUCGGUUGUCAUCCUGUGGCAGCUGCCUGUUGCUGUGAUGCUGAAAGCUCUCCCACAGACCAGAGGAGCAGACCGGCACCGAAGAGAGAAGGCCUCCCUGUGGGUACGUCCAGGGACACAUGGAGCCCAUGCCUCGCUGGGCCUUCACACCCCUCUCUCCUAUUGGCUUCCCCCAGCCCUUAUGUCUUGCACAGGUAGUGUUCAUGAAAGAGUUGUUGGUGAGUAAAUGAAAAAGUGAGUUGUCGUGAUGGAGGUACGGCCAGGGUAUUCUGGACGAGGGAGGAGGGGUCCCUGACGGCCUGGGCCCAGGGACUAAGGUAGGGGAGAGAUGAGAAAGCCCUUCUGGACGGGAUCUAAUAUGUAGGAUCAGGCAGGGGGUGAACAACGAAGCUCCCAGGCAGAGGAGACGGUGGAGAGACAGCUGGUGGAGGCCGCCAGCGGCCAGGGUCGCUGGGUGUGAUGUGUGAGGCAGGACACAACGGCAAGUGGGAAGCAAGAGAGGUCUUGAGUUCCACUCAGGAACCAGGACUUUCUCCUGCAGGCGAAGGUCUGAACAGUGAGCCAGAGAGUUGGGUUUACCUUGCAGAUGGCCCACCUCCUACUUUGUGGAGUGUGGAUGUGAAGUGGACAAGGCUGGAGGCAGGAAGAUCGUCCCCAGGAGGCUGUCCCAGGGAAGACGUAAGAGUUACAGGGGGCAGGCAACCUAGGGCAGAGGUAUUAGUAAUGGAGAGGUGACAGACAAGAGAAGCGUGCAGGAGGCAAACCGACUGCAUUUUGUAGACGUGGAGGGUGAGGGAGGGUGGCGGUCUCGGGUCCCCACCUGGAGCGUGACUUGGAUGACAGCUUGGGACCAUUAACUGAGAUGCGGAACAGAGCAAGAGCAGCAGGUGGCGAGGAGAAGAAGAACGCAUCCUGCAGUGCCUCUGGCAGACGUUCAGCAGGCGCUCCAGAAGGCGUGGCCGCAGACAGCGAUUCAAGAGUCCUCAGAGAAUCCCUGGCGUGUGGAAGCCUGAGGAGAUGUGAUCACCUGUGAGAGUGGACGGCAAGAAGGGCGGGUCCCUUCCCAAGCCUUCCCCACUCAAGACACCAGCGGUCUCGGUGCCCACGGAGCAGUCAGACGGAGCAGCUUUCAGCAGGAGCUGAGGUCUGGGGCCUGCGAGUGAAGGCUGCCCUUUGGAGAGCUCUGGAUAAGACAAAUUUGAAAAAGACUGGAUGAUAGACAGGGGAGGACAUGGGUUCUAGGAUGGGGGGUGGAAUUUGAGUGUAUUUAGAGGCCACAGGGAAGGGGUUUGUUUCACAGGGUGUGACAAGUGGAUCUAGGUCUGAACAAGCGUGACUGAGGGAGUUGGGGGCGCAGUAGGCAGGGGGACCCGGAGAGAGAGAGCCAGGGCGGGGACCGAACCUGCAGGUCCAAGGGCUGUAACACUGAAACAAACCCAAACCAUGAACAAAAAUGCCUGUGGUGUUCUUCAGACAACUGGGUGUUCUCCAAACAGCUCUGGGGACAUUUUUCAGGUAGAUUGAUCAUAUAGUUUAUUAGCAAACUGGGUCACUUGGGAGAAGCACGGGGCACUAUUAAUAAUUGUCAAGACAAUAGGCAUAAACAGGGAUUGUCCCUGGCCAACUAGGAUGGGUGGUCAUUUUAUUUUUAGAUCUCUAUUACCGUUUUUGUAAAGUAAUCAGGGGCAGGUUUCUAUUGCUUUGGUUAUAUAAAUGUCUUGAAAAACUUAAUUCCUAGACAAGUAUAGCUGCCAUCUGUAUCUGUGCAUUCUGCAUCCACGGAUUCAAGCAACCAUGGACCAAAGGCCUAAGAUGGUUGUGUCUGUACUGAACAUGUAUGGACUUUUUUCCUUGUCAUUAUUUCCUAAACAAUACAGUAUAACAACUACUUACAUAGCAUUUACGUUGUACCAGGUGUUAUAAUAAUCUAGAGAUGAUUUAACGUAUAUGGGAGGGCGUGCGUAGGUUAUAAGCAAAUACUGCACCAUUUUAUAUAAGAGACUUGAGCGUCCACAGAUUUUAGUACCCGUGGUGGUCCUGGAACCAAUCCCCCGAAGACACUGAGGAAGGACUGUGUUCCAGACUAUUUCACUGACUCCCUGCAGACCCUGGCCCCAACGUCACCCAACUCAACAGUCUUAAACACAAGCCUUUCUUUUCCAAGACUACUUCAUAUUUGAUGAUUCCCUGAGUGGUCAUCCCAGCCAAGCGUGUCCUUUCUUCUAUAACGAAAUUAGGAAUAUUGCCUUGAAAACAUUCUAAAUAGAAACAUAGACCUGCAAAGAGUUGGCCUUGUCUUCAAAGUCUCUCUGUGUGAAUAUGUGCAUUAUUUAUUAGAUUUUUGGUGACAUCUUCUUCACAGGGUACAAAAAUGUCCCGGGUAACAAGAGAAAAGGAUAGGAGAGAGGGGCCUGGGCAUAGAGGAGGACAGCAGAUCGGAGCGGGUGGAGCAGCACGGAAGGUCACGGGAUGGAGCGCUGUGGAAUCCAGAGUCCUUAGCAGGCCUCAGGUGUACCCCCUCCAGCCGGCGUCAGGGGCCUUCACCCACGGGAGCUGUGCAUUAGUAAAUGUGCCUCUUUCACCCUCCUGCCUUGUUCCUGUGGGCUCCCCGAAUUUGACUCUAUGGAGAGGUCCAUCCACGACAUCUACCUUGGCUUAUGAGGCAUUUUGUCCCCAUUAUGGGGCUGCUGAAGACUUCCUGGGCGUCUCUCAAUAGCAAAUGCCCCCAAAGUGCCUGAGGAGUCUUACAGGAACUCCGGCCGGCUAGGGUGCAGUGGUGAUAAUCAAUUGAGCUGUUGCUCGCAGUGCUGUCAUCAAUUUCUGUGUCUUCACUCUUUUGUUUGUUUCUAUCUUGCGUCGAGGGUUCCAUUGCAUUAACACGUGCACACGUAUUAGGGGGACAUGGUCUUUAGUGCGUAGCAUGUAACAGCCGGGAAAGAGCUUCGAAGGCCGGUAGGCAGCCUCGUUACAGAUGAAAGGGCAACCGUCCAGUUAUGUUGUAUGAUAACUGACGUGAACUAUUGACGUGUUAUCCAUUUUGGUGGCAGUUGGUGUCUUUCUUUUUUUAAGCAUGGAUGGG